UACGGGGGGGGCAAGCGUUGUUCGGAAUUACUGGGCGUAAAGGGCUCGUAGGCGGCCAACUAAGUCAGACGUGAAAUCCCUCGGCUUAACCGGGGAACUGCGUCUGAUACUGGAUGGCUUGAGUUUGGGAGAGGGAUGCGGAAUUCCAGGUGUAGCGGUGAAAUGCGUAGAUAUCUGGAGGAACACCGGUGGCGAAGGUCGGCAUCCUGGACCAACACUGACGCUGAUGAGCGAAAGCCAGGGGAGCAAACGG
rnacentral:rRNA from 1 species